rnacentral:misc_RNA from 1 species
GCCACAUCAACGUAUUAAUCAGGAAACUGGUUAUAAUUGAUAAGAGGGAGUUUAUUAUUCACCAAAUUAAAGUUGAGAAGGUUUUUAUGCUACAAAUCAAAGUUUAAGGACAAUGUUUUUAUAGGGCCCUAAAUUCAGGAACAAUGAGUGAAAUUUACCCAUUUCAUUACCUCCAAAGUCCAAACUGACAAAAAUCGAUAAAUAAAUAAUGAAAGGGAUUAAAAGAAGAUAGUUUUUUUUUUUCAUUUUCUAUAAUAAGAUAGACCACUUCAAGCCCACAGUUCAUGUAGAAAUCAGCCUGCCGCUAACAAAGAAAUAAUGACAAGUGAAAAACUGGUUUCCAAGAGAACAAACACUACAGCAAGUGAUUAAAAGUUUCAGCAACACAUAUGCCAUGAAGCAUCUAAAUAGGCUAAUACCCAAUGGUUUCAACUCUUUUUGUUCACUGAGAACAUCCUUUGCUUUCCUAGCCACCUCCCUCGCAAAAUAGUACCUUCUUUGAGUGCACACACCUUCCAAUCUGCCUCAAAAGGAAAAUUGGGUGACUUCCCUCCAAGGGUCCUUAGCAAAGGUUCUAUAAUAAGAAUACUUCAAAAACAGCCCCUUCUACAUUCUUCCAUCAAACCUAGUCCCACUCUAUCCCAAAAAUAAAUAAAUAAAAAAGAAAUAACUGUCCCACUGCUUCAGCACUUCUUCUCACUGACAUUUUUUAGAAAGAUAAUUACAAAGAAAUAAAUAAAGGCAGAAAAAGAGAGUUGAAGAAGAAGAAAAAUCUCACUCCCAAUCACAUCUACAUCCAAUUCAACCAAUUGAUGAACGCUGCAAACAAGAACUCAUCCAAAAAUCCCUAUCUCAAGUAAACAGAAAUUGUAAAGAAAGCAGUCCUACAGGGAAUAAAUACCAGUCCACUCAUCAUGCCAAACAAAAAAUAAAAUUACCACCACCAGCAUCAAAAUACAUAUACAAUUUUCUUGUUCAAACCCCGUUAAGAGUUGCAUAUAAAUCAUUAAAUGGUAGGCACUAUUUGAAUAAAUUUGCUUGCGGUUUUCUUGGCGCAAUCUCGUAUUGAUUAAAAUAUAUGCAACUUAGGUUAUAGAAUAAUGGGAAAUUGUAAAUAUAUGGCCUGCAUUUCAUUUAGUCAACUCUAUUUAAUUUUUGGCACUGCAUUCUCAAACACUGUAAAAACAUUCAAAAACUUAUUCAAGAGAACAAGCAUUGCUAUGCAAGCAACAAGAUGUUCACUGAAUAUUAAACAAAAUAAUAGAAUAAAAAUUCUCCAGCAGUCCAAAAAGAACUUACUUGUAUAUGUGCUAGUGCUGUUGU